rnacentral:tRNA from 1 species
GGCGCUAUAGCCAAGUGGUUACGGCGACAGAUUCGAAUCCCUCCGUAUCUGUUCCUCUUUGAGGGCGCAGGUUCAAAUCCUGCUGGCGUCG